rnacentral:lncRNA from 1 species
UUUUUUUUUCAAACGCUUAAACUUAGGUCAAGGCUGUGUACAAGUGUUUGCUCAUUUGCCACAAACAUUUUUGACAGGUUUUUGAUGCCGACUUUGGAUUGCAUGUCGAUGUGACCGAUGACUUUAUCAUUGAGGACAAGUCGAAGUUGGAGAUAAAAGAAGGGAGCCAGUAUCGAAUUGUUGAUGUCAUUGAUGUGGAGGUCCUCCCAGCUGCACCACAAGAACCACCUGCACGCAGAGUUUACACCCUGCCGUCGGUGCCUGUAUAUAUCAGGUUAAGUAUUGAGAAGCACCAGCCAGGCCGCUACUUUGCAAAUCGACGCAGAGUGGUUGAGUGGCUGUACCACGACCUCUGCACCUACACAAUGCGCAGCAGUUAUGUGGCCCUUCCUCUGGACAGAGGUGGGGUGCACUCUUCGCUGCUGUAUGACAAGGAGGAUCUUUGGGAUCAAUGACAGGGUACCCAGGAAAACUUUAUGAAGAAGCAGCCAGGGAGCUCAUCACAAAGUUCCCCUGUCUGGCUGACUCAACAGGAACUGGAUAUGACUCCUGGCGGGUGCAGCUCCGCUUUAAAGCUAAAUAUCAGAGGAGGAAGUUGAAGACACAAGAUGAGGCCGCUGGUUCCCUGCCUGUCAAAAGAACCAGGCACACUGAGGAAGUUGCACAGAAGCGAAUCUCCCGGCCAUCUCUUGCUCAUGACAUGGGCGAUGCUGAGGAUGACAUCAGCUUACUCAUGCAUGUGGAGUCCAUGCAGAAAGAGGCAAGGAAAGCCUCUCCAGACACCAUUUACCUCCUAGAUGCUAUGAUGCGCACAUUUGCUGAGAGGAGGAAGUGAAUCUCAGAAGAAACACCAAGUGUUACGGACAUUGUUGAAAAAUAUCCGGCCCUUGCUGUUGGCUCCGUGGUCCUCCAGGAAUUUAAAGCAAUCACUAAUGUGACCCUGGUUGACGCAUUAGGAGGAGUCCUUGACCCAAUAGCCCACAAAAUUCUCCAAAGUGCCCAGAAGAAACGCCACCUGGAAGAUUUCCUUAUAGGGCUGGAGAAAAUGAAAGAUGGCGUCCCCCAGCCGGAGCAGAACGACUUGAUGCUCACCGCAGCCAUAUUUGUGCUGCCCAGCCUGGUGAAGGAACGGGUUGAGGCGUUUGUGUGCAGUCGCGAGCCUGAAGCGGUGCAUGUUGUACCGACUGUCACUUACACCGGCAACAUUCUGGAGCUGCCAGGGUUUACGAUCCAACUGGAAGCGCUGGAGAUCCAGGCGCCCAACCUACUACAAGCUGUCGCCAUACAAAUGGCAUUGUACUGGACUUUUGACAUAGUUUUUUGUGCAAAAGCACAGAAAACUUUUGACCUGCUGUGCCGCCUUAUUGGUGUAAGCAGUGGCAUACAGGCAACACCACUUGUCCGUGUGGCACAAACCUUGCUGAAGCAAUAAUGUUUCAUAGCAUUUAUGAUGCUUGAAAAAUAAAUUAUUUUUCACACCCCCA